AAUCAGAAUUCUGCCAGGCCAGGAACAAGAAAAAAAGAGUCACUGACAGCUUUAUUUCUUGGGAUCUAGAAGGACUGACCCAACUUAGCUAUCCAGUAAAGACGCUCAGAGCGUGCCACAGGCCAAGCACUCAGCAGACACUGAGUACGUGCUGAUGGAUGGUCCUGGAGGAAUUCAAAGCAGAUAAAUACAUAUAUGCCUGGGUAUGUCUAAAUAAAUUUAUUUCCAAGAACUACUAGGUGUUGAGA